CCCCUAGAUGUUCUGGGCCGCACGCGCGCUACACUGAACAGUUCAACAAGUCUUAACCUUGGCCGAUAGGUCUGGGUAAUCUUUGAACGCUGUUCGUGAUUGGGAUAGACCUUUGCAAUUAUGGGUCUUCAACGAGGAAUUCCUAGUAAACGCAAGUCAUCAGCUUGCAUAGAUUACGUCCCUGCCCUUUGUACACACCGCCCGUCGCACCUACCGAUUGAAUGGUCCGGUGAAAUCUCGGGACGGCGGCUUGGUCGCUUGCGUCCGACUGCUGAAACUUGAUUAAACCAUAUCAUUUAGAGGAAGGUGAAGUCGUAACA
rnacentral:rRNA from 1 species